UUUUCUUGCUGGUUAGUUUUUCUUGCAAGCAAGUAUUCAGUUGAAAUCUGCUAUGCCCAUAAGCUCAGUAGGACAUGCAUGUACAUAACCUGUUUGAUUUAAUCCCUCAAUGCUCAACAACUAUUUACAUGUGCCUACAUAAAUUGUCUCCGUUUCUAGUGCUGCUUAGAAUAUUUUACCUGCCAUUUGUGUCAUGCAUUUAAAUAUUCACUAGUUCCCUUCUAGAGUGAACUGCAGUCCAUGUUUGUUCUGAUAUGUGCUAGUCUGCUAUGUAAUUUGAGUUAGCUCUGAACUUAUGAUAUUUUCACUAAAGCAUCUGAUAUGUGCUCAUUGCUUCUAGCAAGAGGAAGUUAUACAUCUGACUACUCAUUGCUGAUGUACUAAUCUCUGACUCUGAUCUUUCUUUACUUUUGGUGCGCAGGUGCUGUUGCUGGUGGAACCGAAUCCUACAUCCUGGGGCUGCAACAUCCCGUGCAAUGGUGUUCUGUUAGCUUUUGGUAGAACUUCAAAUCAAACUUUGCUGCCGCUGGUUCAUAUUCUUGAUGAAAUCUACCUUUUGUUGUUUCUGGUCAACUAUGUGGUCUUGGAAUGUUACUACUAGUUUUCAUAUAUGGAAAUGUAUGUGAUGGAAAUAUUAUUCAUGUUAAUUUCGGCCUGAAUGGGUUGUGUAUAAAGCUAAAUCUGAAUAACUAAUAAUUAAUUUUGGGCUGAAAUUAGGCCCAACUUAGUGCCCCA